AGCCUGAUGCAGCAACGCCGCGUGAGGGAUGACGGCCUUCGGGUUGUAAACCUCUUUUAGCAGGGAAGAAGCGAAAGUGACGGUACCUGCAGAAAAAGCGCCGGCUAACUACGUGCCAGCAGCCGCGGUAAUACGUAGGGCGCAAGCGUUAUCCGGAAUUAUUGGGCGUAAAGAGCUCGUAGGCGGUUUGUCGCGUCUGCUGUGAAAUCCCGAGGCUCAACCUCGGGUCUGCAGUGGGUACGGGCAGACUAGAGUGCGGUAGGGGAGAUUGGAAUUCCUGGUGUAGCGGUGGAAUGCGCAGAUAUCAGGAGGAACACCGAUGGCGAAGGCAGAUCUCUGGGCCGUAACUGACGCUGAGGAGCGAAAGGGUGGGGAGCAAACAGGCUUAGAUACCCUGGUAGUCCACCCCGUAAACGUUGGGAACUAGUUGUGGGGUCCAUUCCACGGAUUCCGUGACGCAGCUAACGCAUUAAGUUCCCCGCCUGGGGAGUACGGCCGCAAGGCUAAAACUCAAAGGAAUUGACGGGGACCCGCACAAGCGGCGGAGCAUGCGGAUUAAUUCGAUGCAACGCGAAGAACCUUACCAAGGCUUGACAUACACGAGAACGCUGCAGAAAUGUAGAACUCUUUGGACA
rnacentral:rRNA from 1 species